rnacentral:rRNA from 1 species
UACGUAGGGGGCAAGCGUUUGUCCGGAUUUAUUGGGCGUAAAGAGCGUGUAGGCGGCUAGGUAGGUCCGUUGUGAAAACUCGAGGCUCAACCUCGAGCUGUCGAUGGAAACCAUCUGGCUAGAGUCCGGAAGAGGAGAGUGGAAUUCCUGGUGUAGCGGUGAAAUGCGCAGAUAUCAGGAAGAACACCCGUGGCGAAGGCGGCUCUCUGGUACGUGACUGACGCUGAGACGCGAAAGCGUGGGGAGCGAACAGG